rnacentral:rRNA from 1 species
ACUUGGAUAACCGUAGUAACAUAGAGCUAAUACAUGCAAAUACUACUAACCGUAAGGAAAGAAGGCACUUAUUAGAUUAUAAACCAAUCCAUGUAAAAGUGGUAUUAGGUGAUUCAUAGUAAGGUUGGAAAUCGUAUAGAGGUAACUCUGACGAUAUAUCACUCAAAUUUCUGCCCUAUCAACUUUGGAUGGUAGUAUAGAGGACUACCAUGGUGAUAACGGGUAACGGAGAAUUAGGGUUCGAUUCCGGAGAGGGAGCCUGAGAAAUGGCUACCACUUCUAAGGAGGGCAGCAGGCGCGCAAAUUACCCAAUCCUAAUACGGGGAGGUAGUGACAAUAAAUAACAAUGCUGGGUCUAUGACUUAGUAAUUGGAAUGAGAACAAUUUAAACCCCUUAUCGAGUAACCAUCAGAGGGCAAGUCUGGUGCCAGCAGCCGCGGUAAUUCCAGCUCUGAUAGCGUAUAUUAAAGUUGUUGCAGUUAAAAAGCUCGUAGUUGGAUAUUAGGAUUUUAUUGAUAUGGUCGGUUGUGAUAAACAAUCUUGUACUGUAUUGGUGAUCCUUUCCUACUGGUAACUCGACUCUGUCCUUUACUGGAUGGAGUAGUAUCGCAAGGUAUCGGUUAGUGUUAUAUUGCCUUUAAACGUAGUGGUCGGGUAAAAACUGGUUAUGAAAUUUAAGGGAUCACAAUGUAGUAUUAAGUGGGGUUCCAGUUCAUUUACUUUGAGUAAAUUAGAGUGUUCAAAGCAGCCUCUUUGGGGCAUUGAAUAGAUUAGCAUGGGAUAAUAGAAUAGGACUUUAGUGUUUUUAUUGGUUUAAAGAUUUAAGGUAAUGAUUAAUAGGGAUAGUUGGGGGCACUUGUAUUCAAUAGACAGGUGAAAUUCUAGGAUUUAUUGAAGACAAACUUCAGCGAAAGCAUUUGCCAAGGAUGUUUUCAUUAAUCAAGAACGAAAGUUAGGGGAUCGAAGACGAUUAGACACCGUCGUAGUCUUAACUAUAAACUAUGCCGACCAGGGAUUUGAGAAUUAUUUAUAAUAUUGAUUUAUUAUAAUUUCUUGAGCACCUUGUGAGAAAUCAUAAGUUUUUGGGUUCUGGGGGGAGUAUGGUCGCAAGGCUGAAACUUAAAGGAAUUGACGGAGGGGCACCACCAGGAGUGGAGCCUGCGGCUUAAUUUGACACAACACGGGAAAACUUACCAGGUCCAGACAUUAGAAGGAUUGACAGGUUGAUAGCCCUUUCUUGAUUUGAUGGGUGGUGGUGCAUGGCCGUUCUUAGUUGGUGGAGUGAUUUGUCUGGUUAAUUCCGAUAACGAACGAGACCUCUGCCUUUAAAUAGAGAUGAGUAAACU